UUUCUUCAAGCCACAAUUAAGGCAGAAAACCUAAUACCCCAUACUUUCCCCUCAUUUGGCCGAUUCUCUCCCCCCUCAAACACUAAGCCACACAUUCAAGCAUGGGGAAUGAUCUUUCAGCCUUCAAAUCUCUUCUUGGCUUCGAUUCUAACAAAGCAAAAAGGAGAUUUAUGGCAUAUUUUCCAGGUAAGAACUUCUUUCUUCUCUUUUUAUUUGCUUUCAAACAUUAAAACUAUGAACCCAAAAGAAUGAAAAACAAAAAAAAAAUACACAGAGAUUUAAAUCGAAAAUCGCCUUCCCAAAAAAAUUGCUUUUGAACUCUCUAUUCAAUAUGAGUAUGUAGUUUCUCCCCCCCCUCUUACAAUGAAAAUAAGGCUUUUAUAUAGCCGAAAAUAAAAAGAAAAAUACAAAUAAUUUCAUUUUUCGUUCUUUUUCUUUGCUGUUGUUUUUUUUUGCUUUGUUUUUGCUUGUCCUUGCUGUUGUGUUUGUUUGUUUCUUUGCAAGUGCGGAGGUACAGGGCCAGCUGUGGCAUACGGCUCGUUGUCGUGGAGGCGUGGAAAUGGUCGUGCUGGAGGGUUGUGGCUACUAGGGAAACCCUAGGUUUCUGUUUAGGUGAAGUUGUUUUAGCUUUGGGCUGUUUGGGCCACGGGUAUUUUGGGCUAGGGUUUUAGCUAAUGGAUUUUAAUUGGGUCUUGAGUUAUGUAUUUAAUUUUAGGUUUUGGACUGUAAAAUGGGCUGAUGGACUGUUAAAUAAUAUUUAUUGGGUUUUUAUUAUUUAUUUUUUUUGUGUUGUAAUGGGCCGGGCAAAUUUUGGGCCUUACAAAGGGGUUUUAUGGAAGAGGUGGAGAACUUGUUCAUUGAGAGUUCGCGAUAAAGAACUUGUUCAUUGAGAAUUUAUAUCAAGGUGGAGAUUGUUAGAAUUAAGUGACCCGAAUUCUUAGUUAAAUAAAAUACAGUGGUAAAAUAAAAUAAAAGAAGAAUCCAUAUAGAAUUACACUUAUUUUAUUUUAUUUUUAGAAUAAAGUUUUUAAACCUUAUUAAAUUCCAUCUAUUUGAUAUUGAUUAGAAUAAAGUGUUUCAGUCUUACUAGAAUAUGGCUUUACAAGCCUAUAAAUAGACAUAGCC
rnacentral:lncRNA from 1 species